AUGCUGGGCCUGCUCGCGCACCUCCACGCGGCGCUCGUGUUCCUCCCCAACAACGGGGGCCCGGCCUGGGCCGGGCCAGGCGGCGGCGCGGGGGCGGUGUACGACGUGGUGCGCUACGGCGCCCGCCCCGACGGCAUGACGGACGCGACGCUGCCGUUCCUGCGCGCGUGGGCCGACGCGUGCCGCUCGCCGCGCCCGGCCACGGUGCUGGUGCCGCCGGGUGUGUUCCUGGUGGGGAGCGCCACGUUCAUGGGCCCGUGCGCCACCCGCGCCGUCACGUUCGCCGUGGCCGGCACGCUGCUCGCCCCCUCGGGCUACGGCUGGGACAGCGCCUCCCCGGGGCGGUGGCUCACGUUCGAGUCCGUGGAGGGCCUCGCCGUCUCCGGCGGCACCCUCGACGGCCGCGGCGCCCCCCUCUGGGCCUGCAAGCAGCAGCAGCCGCGCCUCCACUGCCCGUCCGGCGCCUCGUCGCUGACGAUCUCGAACUCGAGGGACGUGGUGGUGGACGGGCUGAGGUCGAUGAACAGCGAGCUGUUCCACGUGGUGGUGCUGCAGAGCAACGGCGUGACGCUGAACCGGGUGACGGUGGACGCGCCGGAGGACAGCCCCAACACCGACGGGAUACACAUCCACAUGUCCAGCCACGUCUCCGUCUACGACGCCAACAUCCGCACCGGCGACGACUGCGUCUCCGUCGGGCCCGGCAACUCCAACCUCUGGAUCGAGCGCGUCUCCUGCGGCCCAGGCCACGGCAUAAGCAUCGGGAGUUUGGGGCAUCAGCAAGGGCUGGACAUGGAGGACGUGCAGAACGUGACGGUGAAGACGACGUGGUUCACCGGCACCUCAAACGGGCUGAGGAUCAAAACCUGGGGGAGCUCCAAGCAGGGUUUCGUGAGGGGCGUCACCUUCGAGGACGCUACGAUGACCGGCGUCCACAACCCCAUCAUCAUCGACCAGAAUUACUGCCCCCAAAAAGUUGGGUGCAGCGACCGGAGCUCGAGCAUCAAGAUCAGCGAGGUGAAGUACGUGGACAUACGGGGGUGGUCGACGACGCCGGUGGCCGUGACCUUCAACUGCAGCAGGAGCCACCCGUGCAGCGGGAUCAGCAUGCAGGACGUGAAGCUGAUGUACGACAGGCGGGUCGCCAAGUCCUCCUGCCGGAACGUUCAGGGGAGGUCGGUGGGUCUCGUCCUGCCGCCAAGCUGCCUCUGA
rnacentral:rRNA from 1 species